rnacentral:tmRNA from 1 species
GGGGACGUAAUGGUUUCGACAGGGAUGUGGAACCUGGAUAAGCGAGUCGCAGAUGGCAUUAGCUGCGUUAAAAUGUGCCCGUUAAAUAUAAACGCAAAAAAUAACAAUUUCGCAUUAGCUGCCUAAUUUCGCAGCGCGCAUCGACCUAUGCUCACCUGUAGGCGUAGAUAAUCGGUGUCAUUUAUACAGGAAAACUUCAUCUGAGCUCCCGGUAGGAUGAGGGAAUAACGGGAUAGGAAGAUUUAGUUAUGUUCACAGGAAUUAAAUUUUCCGAAUUUGUAAGCUGUGAACUACACUCGUAGAAAGUCUGGGGAAAAUGUUUUUGGACAGGGGUUCGACUCCCCUCGUCUCCACCA